GAAACUAGCCAGACAUGCCAGCAGCCAUCUUAGAGACAGAAUCUUCAGAGAGCAUGCCAGAGUAGAGAAACUGCCCUUAAGAUCCUAUGAGGCGAAAAUAGUUCUACCACAUUCUACACAUUCUACGUGUACUUACUGCACUUAUAUCGCACCAAUAUUGCUAAAACUCAUCAUCUUUGUUCCUGAUUCCCUAUCCUGAUGAUGUUACCAAUAAAGAAAGUUAUUUUUGUA